GCCGCGGUAGCCAAGGUGGUCAAGGCGAGCGACUGAAAAUCGUUAGAUCUCGGUUCAACUCCGAGCCGCGGCA
rnacentral:tRNA from 2 species